rnacentral:rRNA from 1 species
CCUACGGGAGGCAGCAGUGGGGAAUAUUGCACAAUGGGCGAAAGCCUGAUGCAGCGACGCCGCGUGGAGGAUGAAGGUUUUCGCAUUGUAAACUCCUGUUAAGUGGGAAGAAAGACCCUGUGCUAAUACCACAGGGUGAUGACGGUACCACUAGAGAAAGCACCGGCUAACUUCGUGCC